AGAGCCGCACACUAGGAGCUCAGAUGCAAUAACCAAAUAACCAACUUUUCAACAGACAAUCUGUCUUCAACAGGGCACCAAAACAGCAGACAAGUUGAGCCUCCCACUUCAAAGCCCUUAGUUGUUGCGGAAAUUGACCCACUAUUCUGUUUACUUUCUGCAUCUACGUCAUAUCGCUGAGUCUACCUUUAAGUCAUGAACUGCAGUAAGAUUGGAGGGGCUCGCGGACAGGCACCAACCUGCAAAGGGCAGUGAAAACACACCAAUAAUGAACCGGUUGUGCUGCCAUCUCAAGAGGGCUCUGUUCCUCGACCCAAUGGGGGAAAGGGCCAGAAAUAUAAAGAUGCCAGGGGUUGACAAGGAGGGUAAUAUCUCCAGAUGGGCAUGUGGUACCCUUCCUCACCCAUGCCAACAAGAUGUUACUUCUUGUGGGGUCUAUGCCUUGAAAGACAAUGACCCAACACACCUCCAGGCUGUGUAAGGACUAUUUGACCAAGAAGGAUGGAGUGCUGCAUCAGAUGACCUGGCCUCCACAAUCACCCGUGAAGGAAGCAGAGUGAAGGAAUAGCAGCCAACAAGUGCUCAACAAUGUGUGAACUCCUUCAAGACCAUUCCAGGGGAAGCUGGUUGAGAGAAGGCCAAGAGUGUGCAAAGCUGUCCCAAGGCAAAGGGUGGCUACUUUGAAGAACCUCAAAUAUAAAAUAUAUUUUGAUUUGUUUAACCCUUUUUUGGUUACUACAUAAUUCCAUGUGUUAUUUCAUCCUUUUGAUGUCUUUACGAUUAUUUGACAGUAUAGAAAAUGUAAAAAAAAUCCUUGAAUGAGUAAGUGUGUCCAAAUGUUUUACUAGUACUGUAUUUAAAUGUUUUACUAGUACUGUAUUUAAAUGUUUUACUAGUACUGUAUUUAAAUGUUUUACUAGUACUGAAUGUUUCAGGGGGUAUCGCAGCACCUCCAGCACCCUUCACGGAGCUGUGAUUAUACUUGGAAAACUA